GAAGAAUUGGCUCUAUCGUCGGUGAUUGAUGUCAAUUAAACGCGUAUACAUAUGAAUAUGGCGAGUUGUGUAUAAGUGUAAGUGAUUGAUCGAUCGUGGAUUCAAAUUCA